rnacentral:sRNA from 1 species
AGGCUCCCUGCUUGAGUGGAACAGUAUUCAGGGGAAUGAAUGUAAGUCUUUCUCAUCAUUUUCAUUCUCACUGAUGAAAUCACUUUCAUAUCCACUGUCUGAGAAGAUUGCAUCUAGUGUGGAGAGAGUAUCUGGGAUGAACUCAGCAUUCCUCUUGUCAGGUCCGGCCAAACAAGAGAGAGGCACAACCCAAGGAGAGCCGGUAGCAAAGAGAGAAACAGGAAUCAAGUAAGCAAAGUCUGAGGUGCUUUCAUGGAUGAAACCAGCCUAAAAGUGCUGUGAGAGGCAGAAACAAAGAAAGCUGGAGACAACAUGAUCAGAAUGACAGAGGAUGAAAGAGAGAAAACAUGGUGGCUGAGGUGGAGCCAAAAUUGGCAUGGGUGGAUUGUCAAAAAUGGCUCCCCCCAGAGGGUAAUGGAGCAGGUGCUUGGGAGUGACGGACAACGGAAACAGUGCCGCGGCCGCCAAUAUUUGGUUGUUUGAUUGUGUGCGUGGAGGCAAGAGGCCAUGGGGCUGAUCAAGGGAUGGGCGGUUAGCGAAAGGCGAAAAGCAGCCGUAAAAAGCACCCAUAUCGGCCCCUGGCCAACCAUCGCAACAUU